UACGUAGGGUGCGAGCGUUGUCCGGAAUUAUUGGGCGUAAAGAGCUCGUAGGCGGUUUGUCGCGUCUGCUGUGAAAACCCGAGGCUCAACCUCGGGCCUGCAGUGGGUACGGGCAGACUAGAGUGCGGUAGGGGAGAUUGGAAUUCCUGGUGUAGCGGUGAAAUGCGCAGAUAUCAGGAGGAACACCGAUGGCGAAGGCAGGUCUCUGGGCCGAUACUGACGCUGAGGAGCGAAAGCGUGGGGAGCGAACAGG
rnacentral:rRNA from 1 species